rnacentral:rRNA from 1 species
UAUUUAACGGCCGCGGUACCCUGACCGUGCAAAGGUAGCAUAAUCAUUUGCCCUAUAAUUGAGGGCUAGUAUGAAUGGUUUGACAAGAGCAAUACUGUCUCCAUAAAAAUUAAUAGAAAUUAUUCUUUAGGUGAAGGAACCUAAAUAAAAUUAAAAGACAAGAAGACCCUAUCGAGCUUAAAAUCCAUUCAUACGAUAAAGAAAAUCAAUUGAUAUUUCUAAUUAUGGAAAAUUUUGGUUGGGGCGACUAAGGAACAGAAAAAGCUUCUUUUAAAAUUAAAAAUUUAUAAAUAAUGAUCCAUUAUUUAAUGAUUAGAAGAAUUAGUUACCGUAGGGAUAACAGCAUAAUCCUUUUUGAGAGUUCCUAUCGAAAAAAGGGUUUGUGACCUCGAUGUUGGACUAGAAUUUCCUGAA